GAUGAACGCUGGCGGCGUGCCUAAUACAUGCAAGUCGAGCGAACGGACGAGAAGCUUGCUUCUCUGAUGUUAGCGGCGGACGGGUGAGAAACACGUGGAUAACCUACCUAUAAGACUGGGAUAACUUCGGGAAACCGGAGCUAAUACCGGAUAAUAUUUUGAACCGCAUGGUUCAAAAGUAAAAGACGGUCUUGCUGUCACUUAUAGAUGGAUCCGCGCUGCAUUAGCUAGUUGGUAAGGUAACGGCUUACCAAGGCAACGAUGCAUAGCCGACCUGAGAGGGUGAUCGGCCACACUGGAACUGAGACACGGUCCAGACUCCUACGGGAGGCAGCAGUAGGGAAUCUUCCGCAAUGGGCGAAAGCCUGACGGGGCAACGCCGCGUGAGUGAUGAAGGUCUUCGGAUCGUAAAACUCUGUUAUUAGGGAAGAACAUAUGUGUAAGUAACUGUGCACAUCUUGACGGUACCUAAUCAGAAAGCCACGGCUAACUACGUG
rnacentral:rRNA from 1 species